UGCACAACAACACCAGACCUGGAUAUGGUCAUUUGUCUUCAGCAGACAGUGAGCGGGACGAAGUUUUCCCUGAUUAGUAAAUUUGUUUUCAGCAGACAGUGCAGGUCGCUGGAUUUUACUGUUACCAGCUGUUGUAUGGAGAUUGAUCAAUCAACACAUGUAGAGGAGAAAGAGGUAUAGGAGCUUACCAGGUAGUUGCUUGUUGCUUCAAGUGUUUAUAGAUACUUCUAUCGAAUAGGCAUACAUAGAACCCACCUCUCUCUCUUUCCUUCUGAUUUUGUGACACCACCUAAACUAUGUAUUGUCUUGUAUUUGUCUUAUGUUAUUACCUCAAAUCUAGGUUUUUUUUCUUUUUUUAAACCAGUUGUCUUUUUGUAUUCCCUAAUUGUAAAAUCAAGUUUUUUCCCUGAUGAGUUUUUUUUUUUUUUUUUCAUUUUAGAAUCAAAGAAAAAUUAUUUGGAUCUGUAAUCAACUCAGUUUGAUUAUUUUA